UGGGGUGUCGCCAAGCGGUAAGGCAGCGGGUUUUGGGUCCGCUAUUCGCAGGUUCGAAUCCUGCCGCCCCAGCCA
rnacentral:tRNA from 1 species